rnacentral:tRNA from 1 species
GUUAUUUUGGCAGAAUAGUGCGAUAGAUUUAGAAUCUUUUUAUGUAAUUGUAAUUACAGAUAAUA